GUGGGCGUAGUUCAGUUGGUUAGAGCGUCAGAUUGUGGUUCUGAAUGUCGUGGGUUCGAGUCCCACCGUCCACC
rfam:Prevotella sp. S7 MS 2 contig070, whole genome shotgun sequence.